rnacentral:rRNA from 1 species
AGGGUUCGAUUCUGGCUCAGGAUGAACGCUAGCUACAGGCUUAACACAUGCAAGUCGAGGGGCAGCAUUGGAUAGCUUGCUAUUCAGAUGGCGACCGGCGCACGGGUGAGUAACGCGUAUCCAACCUUCCUGCCAGUAGGGAACAGCCCGGCGAAAGUCGGAUUAAUGCCCUAUGUUCUUCAAUGCGGACAUCUAAGUUGAAGGAAAGAUUCAUCGCUGGCAGAUGGGGAUGCGUCCGAUUAGCUUGCCGGCGGGGUAACGGCCCACCGGGGCGACGAUCGGUAGGGGUUCUGAGAGGAAGGUCCCCCACACUGGUACUGAGACACGGACCAGACUCCUACGGGAGGCAGCAGUGAGGAAUAUUGGUCAAUGGGCGUAAGCCUGAACCAGCCAAGUAGCGUGACCAGGAUGACGGCCCUACGGGUUGUAAACUGCUUUUAUGCGGGGAUAAAGUGCGGCACGUGUGCCGCUUUGCAGGUACCGCAUGAAUAAGGACCGGCUAAUUCCGUGCCAGCCGCCGC